CCCUUCGGGGUGGAUUAGUGGCGAACGGGUGAGUAACACGUGGGCAAUCUGCCCUUCACUCUGGGACAAGCCCUGGAAACGGGGUCUAAUACCGGAUAACACCUGCCCGGGCAUCCGGGUGGGUUAAAAGCUCCGGCGGUGAAGGAUGAGCCCGCGGCCUAUCAGCUUGUUGGUGAGGUAGUGGCUCACCAAGGCGACGACGGGUAGCCGGCCUGAGAGGGCGACCGGCCACACUGGGACUGAGACACGGCCCAGACUCCUACGGGAGGCAGCAGUGGGGAAUAUUGCACAAUGGGCGAAAGCCUGAUGCAGCGACGCCGCGUGAGGGAUGACGGCCUUCGGGUUGUAAACCUCUUUCAGCAGGGAAGAAGCGAAAGUGACGGUACCUGCAGAAGAAGCGCCGGCUAACUACGUGCCAGCAGCCGCGGUAAUACGUAGGGCGCAAGCGUUGUCCGGAAUUAUUGGGCGUAAAGAGCUCGUAGGCGGCUUGUCACGUCGGGUGUGAAAGCCCGGGGCUUAACCCCGGGUCUGCAUUCGAUACGGGCUAGCUAGAGUGUGGUAGGGGAGAUCGGAAUUCCUGGUGUAGCGGUGAAAUGCGCAGAUAUCAGGAGGAACACCGGUGGCGAAGGCGGAUCUCUGGGCCAUUACUGACGCUGAGGAGCGAAAGCGUGGGGGAGCGAACAGGAUUAGAUACCCUGGUAGUCCACGCCGUAAACGGUGGGAACUAGGUGUUGGCGACAUUCCACGUCGUCGGUGCCGCAGCUAACGCAU
rnacentral:rRNA from 1 species